UCUCUCUCUCUCUCUCUCUGUUCCUCCCCUUCUCAUUUUUUUCUCUCUCUCAAAAUAAAUUAAUUAAUUAAAAAAUAAACUUAGAUUAAGAGAUCUCUUAAACAACAUCAAGGAAACACAGAUUCACACUUAUAGAGGUCCCAGAAGAAGAAGAAAGAGAGAAAGGUGUAGAAAGCAUGUUUGAAGAAAUAAUAACUGAAAACUUACCUAAGCUAGGGAAGGAAAUAGACAUCCAAGUCCAAGAAGCACAGAGAAUAAGAUGAAGCCAAGGAGUUCCACAUCACAGCACAUAAUAAUUAAAAUGUCAAAGUUUAAAAAUUAAGAGAAAAAUCUUAAAGACAGCAAGAGAGAAACAAAAGUUACCUACAAGGAAAAACUUAAAAGGCUGUCAGCUGAGUUUUUGGCAGAAACUUGGCAGGCCAGAAUGGAAUGGCAUGGUAUAUUCAAAGUGCUGAAAGGAAAAAAACCUGCAACCAAGAAUACUUUACCAGGAAAGUUUAUUCAGAUUGGAAAGUGAGGUAAAGAGGUUCCUAGACAAGCAAAAGUUAAAGGAGUUUAUCACCACUACACCAGCCUUCCAAGAAAUGUUAAAGGAAAUUCUUUAAAUGGAAAAGAAAUGGUUCUAAUUAAACAUGAGGAAGUUAUGAAUAAAAAGAUGUAAAAUAUGACAACAUAUAUGUAAAAUGUAGAGAAGGGAGUUAAAAGGGAAGGGAAGAGGGUAAAGAAAAAGAAGGUUACCCCCCCCCACCUUUUUCUGUGUGUUUGUGUUUGGCACGUGUUUGAACUUAAAUGACCGUCGUAUCUAUAUAGACUGCUAUUUACUUUGGAUGUUAUAUAUCAACUUCACAGUAACCACAAACCCAAACCUUUGGUAGAUAUACAAAAAAUAAAGAGAAAGAAAGCCAAAUGUAACACUAUAGAAACUCAUCAGUCACAAAGAGAGCAAGAAGAAUCGAACAAGGAACUACACAAGUAACUAGAAAAUAAAUUUAAAAUGGCAAUAAAUACAUAGCUAUCAGUAUGCCUAAAUACUCCAAUCAAAAGACAUAGGGUGGGGAAUGGAUAAAAAAGCAAGACCUAUCAAAUGCUGCCUGCAGAGACUCCCCUCAGACCUAAGGGUGCAGACAGACUGAAAGUAAAAGGAUGGAAAACACUCACCAGGCAAAUGGAAGAAAAAAAAAAGCUGGGAUAGCAAUACGUGUAUCAGACAAAACAGACUUUAAAACAAAAACUAACAAGAGACAAAGUCCUUACAUAAUGAUAAGGGGGUCAAUCCAACAAGAGAAUAUAACAAUUGCAAAUAUCUAUGCACCUGACACUGGAACGCCUAAAUACAUAAAGCAAAUAUUAACAGACAUAAAGAGAGAGAUUGAUAGUAGUAAAAUAAUGGUAGGAGAAGUCAUGAGAAUAAGAGGGACGGAGUCAAUGGUAUUAUAAUAGUGAUGUAACAGGUCAGAUGGUAGCUACACAUGAACAUAGCGUAAUGUAUAAACCUGUCAAAUCACUAAGUUGAAUACCUGAAACUAAUGUAACGUUGUAUGUCAAUUACACUCAAAGUAAAAAAAAAAAAAAAAAAAUAGGAGGUUUACCUUAAAAGCACACGGCUACAAAGGCCUAGCUUGACAAAACUAGGAUCAAUUGUUUGGUUCUCAGUAAUCCAGUACACUGAUGAUACAAUUGAGGAGUGAUAUAAUGUAAUCACACCCAAAAUUAGCUUAAUAUUUACCUCAUAAUUUAUUUAAAACUGGAAAAUUAUUCAUUUUUCCCUUUAUCAUCAUCAUUACCAUGGUCUGCACAGUAGGUGGCGACAUUGCCUCACUCCUGGAAUCAACCAGGAUGGCCUUAACUACAAUACACAGAUGCAAACUUUGAAACAAGUUUCAGGGACCUAAAUUGGCCAAAAUUAAAAACAUUGCCCUUUCGGUGAGCCUGGCUAGCUCAGUCAGUGGAGCAUGAAACUCUUGAUCUCAGGGUUGUGAGUUUAAGCCCCAUGGGUGUAGAGAUUACUUUAAAAAAUAGCAAUAAUAAAUAUAUACAUACAUACAUACACAGCCCUUUCUAUUUACCUUAAGGUCGUAUGAAUAAUACCUCAUUAUAACACAUCAAAUUUUUAUAUAUUUUACAUAGAGUUUAAUAAGUAUUUACUGACUAAUUCAUUUUGCCAGUGAAUGUCAAUAAACUAGUUUCCUAUUUUUAAAAAUAAUAUUCACUUAAUCUUCAUCAUGCGAAUGUAAUGAACUGUCUUUUUUUUAGUUUUAAUGUAAAGAAAUUAUUUGUUUAUACUUGGUUUCAUUUUGUAUUCGUCAUUUAAUGAUGUUUAUUAGGCUAUGAUGAUUGAACUCCAUGAAUCUCUGUAGAGGUACAGUCAGAAGAACAAACACCUGGCAGGGCGCUAAAGACAGGCUCCUGCACUUCAGGACACAAUUUUCCUGCCCGAAACCACCCAAGGGCCAGGUAGCAGACAACCAGAGAGACCACACCUGUAGCCCCGAGCCCACAGAAGUUAUUCAAACUAUCUGAUCCUAAACCUAUUCAGCUGCUCACUCUGCCUCAUCUGUUCUGUCCCAUGAAAACUGCAAUCAAGUCUUUUGGCCACGCUUUCCCCUGGCUUGUUGUGCCUCCACACUGACCACGGUGCUUCCUGUGGCCCUGGGUAGCAUGUUGUGCCUCCUCUCCCUGGGAACUGUAAGUAACCCACCAUCUUUUCAGUGGCAGUCGUCUGCUGAUCAGUUGGCUUUACUGAAUAAAAACAAAAUCCUGGGUA